rnacentral:lncRNA from 1 species
GGACCAAUCUCUCAUUCCAGCUUCUAGAGAAUCUUGGAUAACUGAUUGGCGGUUUCAUGUGAUCUAAACUCCAGGUUUCUAAAUUUGCACGGCAGACUUUAUGAGAAUUCAUGUCCUUUCAAGUAAGUCAACAAGGUCACUUGUUUACUAACCUUUUGGCUGCUACCCUUGAAUCUCCCUUUUUACUCUCUAAAGCGGGCCAUCUUAAUUUGAGGGUAAUCCUUCGCUACUUGUCAUGGACUUCAUCCACUGGUGAAAACCGACGAGAGAAUGC